GGGGAAUUUUGGACAAUGGGGGCAACCCUGAUCCAGCCAUGCCGCGUGAGUGAAGAAGGCCUUCGGGUUGUAAAGCUCUUUCGGCCGGGAAGAAAUCGCAUCUUUUAAUAGAGGGUGUGGAUGACGGUACCGGACUAAGAAGCACCGGCUAACUACGUGCCAGCAGCCGCGGUAAUACGUAGGGUGCGAGCGUUAAUCGGAAUUACUGGGCGUAAAGCGUGCGCAGGCGGUUUGCCAAGACAGGCGUGAAAUCCCCGGGCUUAACCUGGGAACUGCGCUUGUGACUGGCAGGCUAGAGUACGGCAGAGGGGGGUGGAAUUCCACGUGUAGCAGUGAAAUGCGUAGAGAUGUGGAGGAACACCGAUGGCGAAGGCAGCCCCCUGGGCCUGUACUGACGCUCAUGCACGAAAGCGUGGGGAGCAAAC
rnacentral:rRNA from 1 species